CCAACGUGGUGAAACCAUAUCUCUACCAAAAAUAUAAAAACUAGCCAGGCAUGGUGGCGGGUGCCUGUAAUCCCAGCUACUCGGGAGGCUGAGGCAGGAGAAUUGCUUGAACCUGGAAGGAAGAGGUUGCAGUGAACCGAGAGCACGCCACUGCACUCCAGUCUGGGCGACAGAGCGAGAAUCUGUCUCAAAAAAAAAAAAAAAAUUAUUGUUUUUUUAGAGACAGGGUGUCACUGUGUUGCCCAAGCUGGUGUCGAACUCCUGGCUCGAGUGAUCCUCUUGCCUCAGCCUCCCUCAUGCUGAUUAGAGGCACGAGCCACCACACCAAGCCUAGUUCUUACUUUGGCAAUAACGUAUGGAAAAGAGGGGGCACCUAGGAGCCUGCAGCACUUCUGUGACAACCUGUGUGUCCCUCUGUGAAAUUGCUUAUUUGAUUCUUCCUUGAACUGUUCCCAUGGGAAACUCACUUGUAAGACUCUAAGUGCGGGGCGGAGCGUCAUCUCCGAGUCUCCCACACGUACCACAUGUGGGGCAUAAACGUGUGUGCUGAGAGGCUUGAGCUAUGACCCCCACAAGUGCACAUCAAGCUCUGCGGCCCCCAGGCAGAUGCUGUGCUGCAGUCAGAGGGCAGAGAAGCUGGGAAGGAGAUGGCCAGUGUGUGGAAGGCAGCAUGACAGCAACCGCCCAAGAUGUCCCCAUCCUAAUCCCAGGUCCCAGGAGUAUGUUCCCUUCCGUGGCAAUAGGGACUUUGCACACGUAAGUGAAGCGUCUGGAGAUGUGAGGGUUAUUCUGGAUGAUCAGAGUCACCCAGUGUCAUCACAGAGUCUUUGUAAGGCAAAGACAGACACAGACUCAGAGAAGGAGAGGUGACGACGGAAGCAGAGGCAGGAACUCUGGCGGGAAGAAUGCAGGCGGCCUCUAGAACUGGGAAAGACAGGAGUGGAUUUCCCCAGAGCCUGCAGAGGGAACUCAGUCCUGCCGAUGCCUUGAUUUAGCCCUGUGGGACCCACACUGGAUGCCUGACUCGGGUUGAGUAACUCGUGAACAGCAUUUCUCAAGUGGCUGCCAUGGUUUGGUUUUGUUUUUUCUAUUUUUUUUUUUUUUUUUUGGUAGAGAUGGGGUCUUGCUAUGUUGCCCAGGCUGGUCUUGAAUGGUCAGAGAAUAUAUCUGUAUUGCUUUAAGCCACAGGGUUUGUGGUCAUUUGUUACAGCAGCAAUAGGAAACUCAUCCACAGUGACAAAUGGGAACUCAGAGCUACCAGGGAGGUGUCAUUUUGAGAAUUACUAAAAAGAAGAUUGUUCUGUGGCCGCCACACACCUGGGGAGGGGGGUCCUGCUCAGAAUAGGCACCAUUUCAGCAGGCACCAUUUCAGCAGGCAGGAACCAACUAGGGAAGGGGAAGUCCAAGUGAGAGAGUGCUUUUCACUAGGAAGAGGACCUGGAGACACAGACCUGCGGCAGCACACACAUGGCCUCUGAACAGAACACUUUUCUAGCCCACACUUCAGAGUACUUUGCCAGGCGCAGUGGCUCAUGCUUGUAUUCCCAGCACUUUGGUAGCUGAGGCAGGUGGAUCACCUGAGGUCAGGAGUUCGAGACCAGCCUGGCCAACAUGGUAAAACCCCGUCUCUACUAAAAAUACAAGGAUUCUCCCUCUCCCUCUCCCUCUCCCUCUCCCCCCGGUCUCCCUCUCCCUCUCUUUCCACGGUCUCCCUCUGAUGCCGAGCCGAAGCUGGACUGUACUGCCGCCAUCUCUGCUCACUGCAACCUCCCUGCCUGAUUCUCCUGCCUCAGCCUGCCGAGUGCCUGCGAUUGCAGGCGCGCGCCGCCACGCCUGACUGGUUUUCGUAUUUUUUUGGUGGAGACGGGGUUUCGCUGUGUUGGCCAGGCUGGUCUCCAGCUCCUAACCAGGAGUGAUCUGCCAGCCUUGGCCUCCCGAGGUGCCGGGAUUGCAGACGGAGUCUCGUUCACUCAGUGCUCAAUGUUGCCCAGGCUGGAGUGCAGUGGCUUGAUCUCAGCUCGCUACAACCUCCACCUCCCAGCCGCCUGCCUUGGCCUCCCAAAGUGCCGAGAUUGCAGUCUCUGCCCGGCCGCCACCCCGUCUGGGAAAUGAGGAGCGUCUCUGCCUGGCCGCCCAUCGUCUGGGAUGUGAGGAGCCCCUCUGCCCGGCUGCCCAGUCUGGGAAGUGAGGAGCGCCUCUUCCCGGCCGCCAUCCCAUCUAGGAAGUGAGGAGCGUCUCUGCCCGGCCGCCCAUCGUCUGAGAUGUGGGGAGCGCCUCUGCCCCACUGCCCCGUCUGGGAUGUGAGGAGCGCCUCUGCCCGGCCGCGACCCCGUCUGGGAACUGAGGAGUGUCUCUGCCCGACCGCCACCCCGUCUGGGAGGUGAGGAGUGUCUCUGCCUGCCCGCCCCGAGAAGUGAGGAGCCCCUCCGCCCGGCAGCCACCCCAUCUGAGAAGUGAGGAGCCCCUCUGCCUGGCAGCCACCCCGUCUGAGAAGUGAGGAGCCCCUCCGCCCAGCAGACACCCCGUCUGGGAAGUGAGGAGCGUCUCCGCCCGGCAGCCACCCCGUCCGGCAGCCACCCCGUCCGGGAGGGAGGUUGGGGGCAGCCCCCGCCCGGCCAGCCGCCCCGUCCGGGAGGGAGGUGGGGGUCAGCCCCCGCCCGGCCAGCCGCCCCGUCCGGGAGGUGAGGGGCGCCUCUGCCCGGCCGCCCGUACUGGGAAGUGAGGAGCCCCUCUGCCCGGCCACCACCCCGUCUGGGAGGUGUACCCAACAGCUCAUUGAGAACAGGCCAUGAUGACGAUGGCAGUUUUGUGGAAUAGAAAAGGGGGAAAGGUGGGGAAAAGAUUGAGAAAUCGGAUGGUUGCUGUGUCUGUGUAGAAAGAAGUAGACAUGGGAGACUUCAUUUCGUUCUGUACUAAGAAAAAUUCUUCUGCCUUGGGAUGCUGUUGAUCUAUGACCUUACCCCCAACCCUGUGCUCUCUGAAACAUGUGCUGUAUCCACUCAGGGUUAAAUGGAUUAAGGGCGGUGCAAGAUGUGCUUUGUUAAACAGAUGCUUGAAGGCAGCAUGCUCCUUAAGAGUCAUCACCACUCCCUAAUCUCAAGUACCCAGGGACACAAACACUGCGGAAGGCCGCAGGGUCCUCUGCCUAGGAAAACCAGAGACCUUUGUUCACUUGUUUAUCUGCUGACCUUCCCUCCACUAUUGUCCUAUGACCCUGCCAAAUCCCCCUCUGCGAGAAACACCCAAGAAUGAUCAAUAAAAAAAAUAAAAUAAAAUAAAAUAAAUACAAGAAUUAGCCAGGCGUGAUGGUGGGCGCCUAUAAUCCCAGCUACUUGGGAGGCUGAGACAGGAGAAUCAUUUGUACCCAGGAGGUGGAGGUUGCAGUGAGCCAAGAUCGUGCCACUAUACUCCAGCCUGGGCAACAGAGUGAGACUCCGCCUCAAAAAAAAAAAAAAAAACUAUUUUAUUAAGGAACACCUCUGCUGCUGGACAAUACUCUACCAAGUGCUAGAAAUACGCAGGUCUCCAGCUACUCAGGAGGAGGUUGAGGCAGGAGAAUCACUUGAGCCCAGGCGUUCAAAUCCAGCCUGGCCAACAUGAUGAUACCCCUGUUUCUAAAAGAAAAUUUUUUAAUUAAAAAAAUUUUAAAAAGAGGGUGUGGUAGCUCAGGCCUGUAAUCCCAGCACUUUGGGAGACGGAGGUAGGAGGAUCAUCUGAGUCCAGGCGUUUGAGACCAGCUUCAUCAACAUGGCGAGACCCCCAUCUCCACAAAAAGUUAUAAAAAUAAAAAUAAAUGAGCCAGGCAUGGCGGUGCACACCUGUGGUCCCAGCUACUGCAGGAGGUGAGGCAUGAGGAUCACUUGAGCCCUGAGCCCGGGAGGUCAAGGCUGCAGUGAGCUGUGUUUGUGUCACUGCACUCCAGCCUGGGCGACAGUGAGGCCCUGUCUCAAAAAAACAAAAACAAAAAUAAAUAUGCAGUUGUCCAAGACUCACGGUCAGGCCUAGGCAUGAACCUCACCAAAAGCCUUUUUCUCUAGCUUACCAGCAAAACAGAAUAAGGCUAAACUAGCUCAAGCCGCCUCACCCUCCAAGCACCUUCAGAUCUCCCUGGACAGAGACACACCCUCCUUUUCACCCCGGAACUUGUUGGUAUAAAACCCUGGAAUAAAUGGCACAUGAGCCAAUCGCUCCAUAACUCCAUCUCAUCCCCAGAAACACAGUGGGAACCCAAAUUCCCAGAAAGAGAGUAAAAGGAUGAAACUCUCCUAGGUGCGUUCAGUUCCUCAUACUCACCUAAAAUGCUUGGUCACACGUCCCGACAGGUAGCAGAAUGAGGGUGACCCCAUAUUCCUCUUACAGAUGAGGGAAUUCACACAGAAAGGGUAUGUGGUGUCAGUGGCCAGGUCUAGGCCACCAGGAGGCAAGACAGAACCCCAG
rnacentral:lncRNA from 1 species